rnacentral:lncRNA from 1 species
CCGAACAACAUGAUACGAAACCUUGCAAUUUUUUUAUUUUUUUAAUAUUUUGCUUUUAGUUAGGAGCACCGUAGGAGUAACCACAGAAAAUUUGAGCUUAAACAAGUGAAAGACAUGGCCUACGGAAUUUUUUGAAGAUUGUGAAAAAUGUGAAAAAAACAUCACGAGGUGAAAACUCAAACUUUGGAGAUGAAUUUUCAGGUUCUAAAAUUUUCAAACCCGCCAAUGGAGGGGACAGACAGAUCCAAAAAGAAUUUUGGAUCAAUUUUCAUAUAUGGAACGUUGAAAUCGGAGUUCAUAUGUGAAAGUUACGGCUAUUUUAUGAACGGACUACGAAUUAGAGGACAAAACAGUCCGAAAGUGGGAAAAAUUUGCGGCGGUGGCUAGAAAUUGAUGGAAACGGUGGCGAAAAACACACGAACUGGACUCUAACAAAGACCUCGACUAGGACACAAACUCAACACUGCGGACUCUGAAACUGAAAUAUGCAAAGGCUAUGGCGCGGAAGGGUUGUAGGACAGGAAAAUGAUAUGGUACUGGACUUAUGGGACGAACACAAGAACACUCCAAACUAAGGGUAGAUGUGAACCUAAUGUUAUACCUAAAGCUCUGAUUACCACUUGAUGAGAACAAGGGUGGCCCGAUCUUCUGAAAGGUUCUACUAACUCUCGAUUUGGUGGAGACGAGACACAAAUCGAUCCGGCUUCCGAACAACAUGAUCCGAAACCCUACAUUUUUUUUAUUUUUUUGAUGUUUUUCUUUUAGUUAGGAGCACCAAAGAAGUAACCACAUAAAAUUUGAGCUUAAACAAGUGAAAGACAUGGCCUGUGGAAUUAUCUGAAGAUUGUGAAAAAUGUGAAAAAACUUCACGAGGCGAAAACUCAAACUUUGGAGGUGAAUUUGCAGGUUCUAAAAUUUUCAAACCCACCAAAAGCUAGGACACACAGAUCCAAAAUUUUUUUCUGAUCGAUUUUGAUAUGUGGAAUGUUAAAAUCGGAGUUCGUAUGUGAAAGUUAUGGCUAUUUUACGAACGGACUCCGAAUUAGAGGACAAAACGGUCUGAAAGUGGGAAAAAUUUGCGGUGGUGGCUAGAAAUUGAUGGAAACGGUGGGGAAAAACACACGAACUGGACUCUAACUAGACCUAACCAGCAACAGGACCUCAACAAGAACACAAACUCAAAACUGCGGACUCUGAAACUGAAAUAUGCAAAGGCUAUGGCGCGAAAGGGUUAGGACACGAAAACGAAAUAGCACUGGACUUAUGGUACGAACAGAAUAACACUCAAAACUAAGGGUAGAUGUGAACCUAACGGUAUACCUAAUGCUUUUAUUACCACUUGAUGAGAACAAGGGUGACCUGAUCUUCCAAAAGGUUCUGGUAUCUAUCGAUUUGGUGCAGACGAGACACAAAUCGAUCCGGCUUCCGAACAUCAUGAUACGAAACCCUGCAAUUUUUUUUAUUUCUUUUGAUAUUUUUAUUUUAGUUAGGAGCACCGUAGGAGUAACCACAGAGAAUUUGAGCUUAAACAAGUUUAAGACAUGGCCUGCGGAAUUUUUUGAAGAUUGUGAAAAAUGUGAAAAAAAACUUCACGAGGUGAAAACUCAAACUUUGGAGGUGAAUUUUGAGGUUCAAAAAUUUUCAAACCCGCCAAUGGAGGGGACAGACAGAUCCAAAAAAAAUUUUUGGAUCGAUUUGAUAUAUGGAACGUUGAAAUCAAAGUUCGUAUGCGAAAGUUAUGGCUAUUUUACGAACGGACUACGAAUUAAAGGACAAAACAGUCUGAAAGUGGGAAAAAUUUGCGGUGGUGGCUAAAAAUUGAUGGAAACGGUAGGGAAAAAACACACGAACUGGACUCUAAUAAGACCUAACCAGCAACAAGACCUCAACAAGAACACAAACUCAACACUGCGGACUCUGAAACUGAAAUAUGCAAAGGCUAUGGCGCGAAAGGGUUGUAGGAUACGAAAACGAAAAAGCACAGGACUUAUGGUACGAACACAAGAACACUCGAAACUAAGGGUUGAUGUGAACCUAACGAUAUACCUAAUGCUUUUAUUACCACUUGAUGAGAACAAGGGUGACCUGAUCUUCAAAAAGGUUCUGGUAUCUCUCUAUUUGGUGCAGACGAGACACAAUUCGAUCCGGCUUCCGAACAACAUGAUACGAAACCUUGCAAUUUUUUUUAUUUUUUUAAUAUUUUGCUUUUAGUUAGGAGCACCGUAGGAGUAACCACAAAAAAUUUGAGCUUAAACAAGUGAAAGACAUGGCCUAUGGAAUUUUUUGAAGAUUGUGAAAAAUGUGAAAAAAACAUCACGAGGUAAAAACUCAAACUUUGGAGAUGAAUUUUCAGGUUCUAAAAUUUUCAAACCCGCCAAUGGAGGGGACAGACAGAUCCAAAAAGAAUUUUGGAUCAAUUUUCAUAUAUGGAACGUUG